GACGAACGCUGGCGGCGUGCUUAACACAUGCCAGUCGAACGGAAAGGCCUGCUUUCCCUUGUGGAUUGCGGGUACUCGAGUGGCGAACGGGUGGGUAACACGUGAGUGAUCUGCCCCCAACUUGGGUAUAAGCCUGGGAAACUGGGUCUAAUUCCCGAUAGGACUGCAGGGUGGUGCCUGUGGUGGAAAACGAUUUUCUAGUGGUUGGGGAUGAGCUCGCGGCCUAUCAGCUUGUUGGUGGGGUAAUGGCCUACCAAGGCGGCGACGGGUAGCCGGCCUGGGAGGGUGGACGGCCACAUUGGGACUGAGAUACGGCCCAGACUCCUACGGGAGGCAGCAGUGGGGAAUAUUGCACAAUGGGCGGAAGCCUGAUGCAGCGACGCCGCGUGGGGGAUGACGGCCUUCGGGUUGUAAACUCCUUUCGACCGCGAGGAAGCCACCUGGUUGGAAGGGUGGUGACGGUAGUGGUAGAAGAAGCACCGGCUAACUACGUG
rnacentral:rRNA from 1 species